AAAUAAAAAUAUAAAGAUAAAAAUAAAAGGUACUGCCGAUGCAACUAAAUAGAUUACAUUUUUAUGAUGAUAAACAAAAGUCUUCAAAACAUAAACGGGAAUCGUUCAGUUACGGAUGUUAUAUACCGUUGCUAAGGAGAUAUUUCCAAGCGGAAGUUCUUGCGCUGAAUGGUCGUUAAGGAGAGAUUCAUGGCUCUGUCUUGCGUAAAUCUCUGUGGCUUCUGCUGUAGCGGCAUGCUUUUCUUUCAAAGCGUUUUUAUUAUCCAUGCUUCAGGCCAUCUUACUUCGACGUUGUCUUCAAAUGUGUUUCUCGCUAAGGAUGUACUUAGUCUACCUUUAGCUGUGUCUUUUUUAUGCUCUUGCAAUCUUGUUUCUAACGAUCUUAAAGUAACACUGAUAUACGCUUCCUGCACGUUUUUCGUAU
rnacentral:lncRNA from 1 species